ACAUUUUUACACUCUUGACCUCGGAUCAGGUAGGGAUACCCGCUGAACUUAAGCAUAUCAAUAAGCGGAGGAA
rnacentral:rRNA from 1 species